AGCUGGGACAGCUGAGAAUUCAGGGCCUGAUCCAACGCCCAUUAAAAUUAUUGGAAAGGCUCCAACAAGCUCUGGGACACGUGGCAGCGUGCCCCUCCUGACGCAGCACAUCUCGGGGCUGCAGCAUGCACUCACACAGUGCAAAGCUCACGGUCGCUCCAGCCACGUCUGUACCAGCCCAAGGCUCAUCCCUGGGAUGGGGGCUGGAGAAGGCACACUCAGUGAUAUUGCCACGGAAGCAGCACUGAAUUAUAGAGUGUCACGGGUCAACUGAACAUUAGAGAAGAGUUAGCAGGUGUACUGGAGGACAUGAAACACUUUUCCAGUAGAAUAAUGAAAACGAAGCUUGUCCGUCAGGACAGCUGCUCAGAACUGAACUCCACUUUGUGAGAAUCAGCCUGGAAGGUGUGCCAAGAACUACCCAAAUAUUAAUUUUACAUGA
ensembl:lncRNA